AACGAACGCUGGCGGCAUGCCUAACACAUGCAAGUCGAACGAGACCUUCGGGUCUAGUGUCGCCCGGGUUCGUAACGCGUGGGAACCUUCCCUUAGGUUCGGACUAACUCCCCGACAGGGGUACUAAUACCGGAUAAUGUCUUCUGACCAAAGAUUUAUCAACUUUGUAUGGGCCCGCGUUGGAUUCGCUAGUGCGUAGGGUAAAAGCCUACCAAGGCGACGAUCCAUAGCUUGUUUGAGAGGAAGAUUAGCCACACUGGGACUGGGACACGGCCCAGACUCCUCCGGGAGGCAGCAGUGGGUAAUAUUGGACCAUGGGCGAAAUGCUGAUCCAGCAAUGACGCGUGAGUGAUGAAGGCCUUAGGGUUGUAAAGCGCUUUUACCCGGGCUGAUAAUGACAGUACCGGGAGAAUAAGCUCCGGCUAACUCCGUG
rnacentral:rRNA from 1 species